rnacentral:lncRNA from 1 species
CUGUGUCCUCACUCCCCAGUGGACCCCAGCCCAGGAAGAUCCAGGUGAAAGCUGGGACUAUUCUAAAAGGCAUCAGGCACGGUCUUUGCAGGGACUCUAAAAAUGCCACAAUGUAUGCUUACUGGUAAGCACAGCCAUAGUAAGAGAUUUAUUAUCCAAAAGAGAAUUGUGAUCUAAGUAAACAAGUCGGACAAUGGGCUGGAGAGAAACGAUGGAAUACAUACUGAGCAGAGUGAUGAUUUGCAUCUUCUUAAACUUCAGUCUUCCUCAUUUAAGGAUAUUUGUUUUUUUGUUUGUUCAUUUUUCUCUAAGAGGAAGCAGUACUUUCUUAAACUCCUGGAGAGGGGUUUAUUAGAUGGUGUUUUACUAAAAUGAAAGACAAAGGAUAGAAGGGAAAUGGCACAAGAGGAAGAAGACUGGAACAGAAGUGGAAUGAAUCCAAAGCAAAGAGAAUACACAGGAAGAGACUGUAGAAGGCUCCUGCACAUCCCGAACAGCAUUGCAAAUCUGAGCAUGUGGAAAAGUUAUGUGAAUGCUUCACCUGGUAGCCAGCUUGCAGCCCAAGCACAAGGAUCCACUGUGACUUCAUUAGGACUUCAAAGAAAAACACCACACUGCUCUGUUGAACAAAUGCUGGGGAAUGAUGAGAGGCAGCAGUGAAAAGGUUAAAUAUAUCUUAACACGGGCCAAGUUUCUAUUUCUUACUUGAAAUUGAAAGCAAGAAAUCUUGGAAGAAAGAGGAAGAAGAGGAAGGAUGGAUUUGGAAGGUGAAAGGAAAAGUCACUUGCUUUGUAUCCAGAGCAAAUAUUUAAAAAUCAUUAAUUUUAAACUCCAAAUGGAAUAGCCUCACAAAUAUGCUCUUCCCUCAAGACAGACAUUUCCUGGACAGGGGGAGUGCAGAAGAAGGGAAAGGAGAAUAAGGAUAUUCGAUGUAUUGUGGUACGUCUGGAAUCCUCUUAUCUGCAGCAAGACUAGGAACACCUGGACGACACUUGUUUAUUUCCCCCACCCACCUGUGCAAAUUGCUAAGUGCAUUGCUUCUCAAAGCACUAUGCCAUAUGCCAGUCACAUCACAGAGAUCCAUUGUGACUUCUCUGAACAUCAAAGAAAAGCCAUUGCACAUCUUCUUUGCACAAAUACUGAAGGGGCAGUUGUGAAAGGGUUAAAAGAUCAAGUUCUGCUAUAAAGAUAACAGGAACUGGAGAACAUGCAGCAGAUGUUGCAUGUGGAGGCACUUAAGUUUACAGUCCCACCUGUGUCCAUUUAAUACCUUUAAAAGCAAUCUCCUGUUCAUUUGUGAGGGAGAAUAGAAAAUCGAUGUUCCGAUCUCAACAUCUGCUCACAACUUCCACAUCCCACAUGAAGAAAGGGAGGAGGUGAUGGGAUGAGCAGACAAGACAAGAAGGCUGAAGCUGAGAUUUAAGAACAUAAAUAUACGGAGAUUUAUGCAAGUACACAUCGCCAUGUGGAGUUAGCCGUUCUUUUGUGUGCAAGGCAACUUAUGCUCUGUGCUGGGGAGCAGCAGCCCAACUUUAAUGUUAAUGUUUAAAAUGUCUUAAGAGCAGCACGAACAUUAAACAGUCAAGUCACAGAGUUACAUCCUCAUUUUUGUUUCCUCCCUCCCUCCUUUCAUUCCUAUUUCCCCUCUGAACAAACUAGC